UGCGUGACAUUAGCUAGUUGGCGGGGUAACGGCCCACCAAGGCUACGAUGUCUAGGGGAUCUGAGAGGAUGACCCCCCACACUGGUACUGAGACACGGACCAAACUCCUACGGGAGGCAGCAGUAGGGAAUUUUCCACAAUGGACGAAAGUCUGAUGGAGCAACGCCGCGUGCAGGAUGAAGGUCUUCGGAUUGUAAACUGCUUUUAUAUGUGACGAUAAUGACGGUAGCAUAUGAAUAAGGAUCGGCUAACUCCGUGCCAGCAGCCGCGGUCAUACGGAGGAUCCAAGCGUUAUCCGGAAUUACUGGGCGUAAAGAGUUGCGUAGGUGGCAUUGUAAGCAAACAGUGAAAGCGUUCGGCUCAACCGAAUAAACAUUGUUUGAACUGCAAAGCUAGAGGAUGAGAGAGGUUAUUGAAAUUCCCAGUGUAGGAGUGAAAUCCGUAGAUAUUGGGAGGAACACCGAUGGCGUAGGCAGAUAACUGGCUCAUUCCUGACACUAAGGCACGAAAGCGUGGGUAGCAAACGGGAUUAGAUACCCCGGUAGUCCACGCCGUAAACUAUGGAUGCUAGCUGUUAGAGGUAUCGACCCCUCUAGUAGCGAAGCUAACGCGUUAAGCAUCCCGCCUGUGAGUACGUCGCAGACUAAAACAUAAAGUAUUGACGGGACCCGCACAGCGGUGGAGCGUGUUGUUUAUUCGAUG
rnacentral:rRNA from 1 species